rnacentral:pre_miRNA from 1 species
UAUUAAAAGUUUUAUCUAUUCCUAUUGUUAAAAAUUGGUAUGGUUGAUGAAAUAACCAGACAGUUACACGUGGUGUGCACGUGUAUCUUAUGCUAAUGUAUACAUACCAGUUUUUAAUAAAAAAAUAGAUGGAAUUUUUAGCA